rnacentral:rRNA from 1 species
AUGACUGACAGAGGUGAACGUCCGGAGCAGAGUGUGCCUUUCAGUGGCAUGGAGAACCGCAACAUUGGUGUCCCGUACAGCCCAAACAAGAAGAUUGGCAAGAAAGUUGCGAUUGAGACCGCUGAGAGCACGCCCCGCCCUACAAACAAGCCUGAUGAUAAUGCAGUAGACGAGACAGAAAUGUUUGUUGAUCUAUCAACCCUGGAUUUUGCUAAGCAAUUUGUUUGCGAUCCUCCUGGUAGGGUGGAGAGGCACCAAAUGGCCUUCACCCCACCGAGCUAUAGCCUUGGCAUCGAUCGCACUCAAGAUGAACCAGUGGUGCAAGAUGUUGUGCCUGUUGCCUUUUCUUUCUGGUAG